rnacentral:rRNA from 1 species
ACCUGGUUGAUCCUGCCAGUAGUCAUAUGCUUGUUUCAAGGAUUAAGCCAUGCAAGUCUCAGAGUAAAUGGAUUACAGUGGGUCUGCAGACGGGUCAUUAAAUCAGCAGCAAUCUGAGCGGGGAAGGGGCCUCAAGGGGGCCAGUUGGAUAACAAUGGUAACUCCAUCGCUAAUACAUGUCGGAAAAAUCCAACACACAUCUCACCAUGAGGGAACCUUAUGGGGUGGGGUGGAUGGAAUUGACUGGAAUAAGAACAACGGCCAGGAAUUGGAGCGGUGAGCGGAUGAAACAGGUCAACCAAGCGAUAGCCACACACCUUCAAGGUGUGCAAGCCCGCAAGAGCUUCUGCCCUAUCAGUUUUGACGGUAGUGUAGUGGACUACGGUGGCUUUUACGGGUAACGGGGAAUUAGGGUUCGGUUCCGGAGAGGGAGCCUGAGAAACGGCUACCACAUCUAAGGAUGGCAGCAGGCGCGCAAAUUGCCCAAUAGCAACCACUGCUGAGGCAGCGAAGAGGAAUAGCAACUUCUAAUGCUAUGGCAUUAUGGAGAUUGCAAUGGAUGAUAUCUAAACCUGUCAAUGAGUAUCAAUUGGUGGACAAGUCUGGUGCCAGCACCCGCGGUAAUUCCAGCACCAAUAGCGUAUAUUAAUGCUGCUGCUGUUAAAAAGCUCGUAGUUGGAUCCAGAGCUCAGGUUGUAAGGUGGCCCUUUACCUUGACGCGUCAGCCAGCAUGAUUGUGGCAUGGGGUUCAACCCCUUACACUAAGGCCUUGUCUCUAUGAACGGUGGUAAUGGUGCCCUGUGAUUAGCCUCCUUCAUGGGGGUGAAAGCGAUCACGCGUGAACCAUGUGCAUACGGGUCGACCACCGAUGUCACUGUGAACAAACCAGGUGCUCAAAACAGGCGUUUGCCUUGAAUGAUAAAGCAUGGAAUGACAAGGGAUCGAUCCUCUCGGUUCUUUUUGUUGUUCUUAACCCGGAAAGAGUAACUCAAGCUAAAGACCCUGAUGGCGCGUUUCUGACCUGGGUAACCAGACUUCACCCCACGGAAUCAAUAGGACUGCGGGGUCGUACGUACUCCCACGUCAGAGGUGAAAUUCUUAGAUCGGAAGACGAACUUCUGCGAAACCAUUCGACAACCAUGUCUUCAUUAAUCAAGAACGAGAGUGUGAGAUCGAAGAUGAUCAGAUCCCGUCGUAGUCCACUGCUGUAAACGAUCCCGUCUCAGGAUCGAGAGAUCCACUUCAAUGACUCUCACGCCACUAACCCCUGAAACGAGAAAUCAAAGAUUAUGGGUUCAGGGGGGAGUACAUUCGCAAGGCUGAAACUUAA